AUGAACUAGUUCAGUGCAGUCAUGCCAGUGCAGGAAACCUGGAGGCACUUGCAGAGACCCACCCGGGAAGUCAUUAUUCAAAAGUCACAGUUGUCACAGAAUGAGAAGCUCAGAGAGACUGAUGGUAAAGCCAAGGUCGGGUACAGAGGAGUCCCUUUCCCUCUGUUUAAAAGCCUUCAUUGAACUCUUUAUGCACUUAUAGGAAAGAAAACCCCAAGCUUCCUUCCCUGCCCUUUACCCAGAUUCCAGACCUACUGCUCAAGACCCACUGCUCACCGCCUGCACCUGGACCUCCAUGCACGCUGCCCCUCCGUGGCUGGUCCCUCUGCCUGGGCUGUUCUUUCCAUGCCCACCUCUCUUCCAGUGUCCAUCAUGCUUCCUUUCUUCUAGGAUCCUCCCCAUGAAGCUCCCGUGCUGUGUCUCUGGGUGUCCUUGGAGCUUCUCCUGGCUGCCUUGCUCAUAGUUCAUACCCUUUUGGAUAAACUGAGGACAACUCCAGGAGCUUGCCAAGUAAGCUAGUUUAGUUGGCCGGCUUGCUCCAGGGACCCCAUUACUGCCUUCAAACACAGAGAUUACAGGUGAGCUGCCAUGGGGAAAUGUACAGAAGCUGGGGAAAUGAGCUGUAGUUCUCACAACUGCACAACCACAGCCAUCUCCCCAACACUUAAGAGCUGCUUGUCCGAUAUGCUGUCUUAGCAAUGAGAAAGCGACUCGCACCUAUUGAGAUUUUUCUCAUCCUUGGUUUGGGAUUAUGAAAUAGCUUGAACUUCACUCACUCACCCUCUUCUCCUUCACUAACACCUCAAAAUAUCUGUGAGUCCCAGCUGGGCCCAUGGCAGAAACUUCGUCUAAGCAAAUGCCCUUCAUUAUUACCACGGGCCCACUGUCAUCCAGCCAGGGGGUAGUGCCCUGCUCUGCCAGAGGUGACUUGUGCCCUGUUUCAAGCUUAUUACUUUAAGUCACCCAGUACCAUUGGCCUGAGGAGCAAGGAGUGGGGUAAAAUGACCUUCUGUGUAUCUUACUGACCUGGGUCCUAGACCUUCAUCCACAGCAGUCUCGUCCAAUGACCACACCAGCACAGAAAGAUCUCUGUGUGUACUUAUUGGCAUUCCAUAGGAGCUUGAGUGACGGGGCUGGUGGAGGGGUCUUAUGCAUCACGAAUAUGAAUAUCAUUAUUCAAAUCACUCUGGUAGAUGUUGAAGAUAAAAGGAAAUGUUUUAUUUUGUGUUCAUUAGGCACUAGAGGGUACGUUGCCCCUGGCUGCCGACUCAUUAUGCCUGUUAUGGUUAAUGGGAGUUAAACUCCAAUAUCACAUCAAGGGGGAGAAAUGAUCCCAUAAGUAUUUGGAAAUUUUUUCCUCCCAAUUGCAGAUCAAAGCUAGGUUAUGAACUUCUAUGCUGUCUUGCUAAUGGAUUAGACUAAUAGCAUUCUUUGAAUUUCCCCCAUAUGCUAACUCUCUGUGUGGGGAUGAUUACGGGAAGUCUGCGAGCCUGGGAGAUUGCAAGGUCUACCAGAGUCUGCUGUCAGAGUGAAUUCUCCUGGCAGGGAAGAAAACCAGCAACGCCUAAAUGCCUGCUCAUCACAUCUGCCUGCCGGUUGCCGUGGUCCCCACCAGGAUGGUCAUGACCUCGUCCAUUGAAAUGAUCCAUUUGUUGGCCUCAGUAAUCUCCGUUGUUCUCCGCCGUGCUGUCUGCAGUUCGGCUCUGUCUGGAGUGAAAUGUGGGACCCAGGAGGAAACAGAAAUGGGUCUUCUCAGCAACACUCAAGCAACAGAUGACUCUGCCGAGACUCCACCUGGAAGGCUGCGCUCAGCUCGGAGCUCCUAAUUACCAGCCAGGAUUUAAACAGGAAACUCUCCCAUCACCUGCUCCAGAUGCAGGGUGGCUUCAGGAAGUCUCCUAGGCUCUGUCUGGGGUGGGAGUCAAGCCCAGCAGAAGAGCCUUCCUACACAUAGAUCUUCUAUGUCUCUGCACGGAUACGAGGCCCUCCUAUGUUCCCAAGCAGAGAAUGUGUAGGAUGCUCAGAGUUUUCUGUGAAGUCUACACUCACACGUGAUGGAGGCGAAACAACAGACUCUGGAACAAGGAACAUGCAUGCCAUUCAUGUCCCUUCUUUUCUUCAGGAAGCAGAUGCUGAGGUAACGUCGGAACUUCAAAUGGUUACUAGAGAUCCAAACCUAUAAACACAAGACAACUUGACAGAGACAGAUGCUGUCUUCACACUGUCCAAUCUGCUCAGGGGAGCUGUGGGGUGAGUACUCCCUGCCUGGCUCAGUCAGCAGAUGUGGGCUGCUUUGAGAGACUGGAACCUCCUGAGAGCCUACAUCUCUCCUCAGCCAGGCUGACUCUGAAGUUGCCCACAGUGGGUCUGUCAGCUGACCACCUCCCACAGCUGGGAGGCAAAGCCUUUCUUUAUCAGAGUGGCAAAUCUUUUUGUGGACUGCAGGAUCUAACGUGCGAAGCCUUGGAACCCUGUUGUCCAAGACCUUGGGGCUUGCACAGCCUUUUGCAGGUACAGUCUUUUCCAGAUUCACCCCGAAUCCAGAACCUGCUCACUUGUUCCAGAGCAUGCUACAACUAGAACCUUCCAGGAUUACCCAUGUCAGUGCCCAUAAGAUUGCGUUUGGAGGGCUGGGGUAAUGACUCAGUAGUUAAGAUUCCUGACUGCUCUUCUGGAGGACUGAUGCAUUCCCAGCACCCACCUGUAACUUCAAUUUCAGGGGAUCUGAUGCCCUCUGCUGGCUUCUGUGGGUACUGCAGGAAUGUGGCAAGUGGACACACAUUCAUGCAAAACACCCCCAAACACAUAAAAUAUUUACUUUUAAAACAAUGUAUUUCUGGAACUGUUAAGGAAAGUCCCAAUGAUUUCAUUUCUUCCACACUAUGAAUCUUCUCUGACCAUUUUCAAAUUCCCCUCUGCACACACAAGUGGAGGGACUAGGGAGUACCCACUCUACCUUUCACACCUCCCACAAGGGACUUUCUCAAGGAAUCUGCCUGAAAGGAAGUUCUAUUAUUGCCACUUAUUCAGCCAUGUAAUAUACGCAGACUUAACACUCAGUGAGGUCAUGAAGUAUGUACCCAUUUUGCAUGGUACAAGGGUCAGUGUUGGGUUCUAUGGUAUGAAGAACACAUAUAAUUAUUCUCUUCUAACUACCCAGAUUUGUAAACCUAUUCACACACACAAAAAUGCAUGGAUAAUUAUUUAUUAUUAUUAAAAGAAUCUUGUGAUGGUGACCCCCAACCUAUAAGGUGACACAUGGUGACACCAUAUCCACAACUUGAGAAUCUGAGGUGACUCCUCAGGCAGACAACAGUUUUCCUUUACUUUCUUUAGAGCAGUUUGCCCUGAGAAUUUCUGUUAUAUAGUGGGGCGUUGAAGACAAACUAAUUCUGCCAGAUAAUGAUCUCUUGGAUUCAAGUGCACGGAGGAGACUGGAGAAGCCAUUAAGAGAAGAACAUGGUGCCAUGGCAAAGAAGAGAACAGAGACCCUGUACUUUCCAGGACUGUCUAAGCAGUCGUUACCUUGAUACGAUCUGCUUCAUAAAAAAUAUUAUUGAUUUUUUUUUCCAGUUUAUUGUCACCAGCUGUAUAAUAUUUACACUGGGAAGUGAAGUUACUACAUGGCUCUGCUCUUUUCCCGCAUUAAAGUGGCAAGUUGAUAUUGCCAUUGAAGCUAAUAGAAGUGUCCCACAUAGCAGCUGUGUAAAGUCAGCGUGACAGACCGAGGCUUUUGGAUUUAUGUUGGACACCUAACGCCCAGUGCCCGAUGGUGGACAUUGGCACGCGGCUUCCUGUGGCCCACUUAGCUUGUACAUGCCAAUAGGUGCCAGACAGCUUUCACACUCUGCCAGGAAUAGUUCCAGGGAGGGCUGUGCUCCAUUCUCACCUUCAUAGUGACACGUCCAGGGAUUCAUUAAAGCUUAUUAGGCAUUGAUUGUGGAAACUUAAGUAACAACAACACUGCAUUUAGUUUCCCUGUUUCCCAAGAGUUUAAAGAGUUUUAAAUAACUUCAGCUGCUAUAUUGAGCCGAGAAGUUUGGGCUGUAAGAAUGCUGCUUCUGCAAUACCUACCCUUUCAGGUGGAGCAAGGUGGAGCACGCUUUGCAUCCAUGGAAGUGGCAGUUAUACGCCAAAGCCUGCUUACCUUAAGGAAGAGCCCCUGUGCCCGCAUGCUCAGGGAUGACAUUCCCACCCGAGCUGUUUUGACUCUUACGACAUGUGACCUGACAUCUUGCUGGUCUGCAGUAGUGACCAGAGGCUGUGCUCUGACUCAGUGGCUCCCCGAGUUUAGUUUCGAGAAAUCUGGAUGAUGUAAGCCUUGCCUCAUCCUUCAGUGCUCAUUGGAGAACAGAUGCCCUGGGUGCAUCCCUGGCUGGAAGCAAGACUUUUGCCAGAGUCUCACGCUCCAGCCACACUGAUGUUCACUCCCAAACUAAAGGCUUUGAAGCUUGCCUAGGCUUCCUGGAUGGCAGUCAGUGCUCUGCUCGGAUAUAUCACGCUUUGGUGACAAGAGGGCAAGGGGUCCCUGAAGACACAGAAGCUUCCCGUUUGGGACCCUCAGGUUUUCCCCAUCUCUUCCUUUGGUUGGCUCUGAUCAAUAU